CCUACGGGUGGCAGCAGUGGGGGAUAUUGCACAAUGGGGGAAACCCUGAUGCAGCGACGCCGCGUGUGGGAAGACGGUCCUCUGGAUUGUAAACCACUGUCCCCAGGGACGAAGAUGACGGUACCUGGGGAGGAAGCUCCGGCUAACUACGUGCCAGCAGCCGCGGUAAUACGUAGGGAGCGAGCGUUGUCCGGAAUUACUGGGUGUAAGGGGAGCGUAGGCGGGACUGCAAGUUGGGUGUCAAAUCUACCGGCUCAACCGGUAGCCGCACUCAAAACUGCAGUUCUUGAGUGAAGUAGAGGCAGGCGGAAUUCCUAGUGUAGCGGUGAAAUGCGUAGAUAUUAGGAGGAACACCAGUGGCGAAGGCGGCCUGCUGGGCUUUGACUGACGCUGAGGCUCGAAAGUGUGGGGAGCAAACAGGAUUAGAUACCCGGGCAGUC
rnacentral:rRNA from 1 species